rnacentral:rRNA from 1 species
UACGGAGGGGGCUAGCGUUGUUCGGAAUUACUGGGCGUAAAGCGCACGUAGGCGGCUAUGUAAGUUAGAGGUGAAAGCCUGUAUCUCAACUCCAGAAUUGCCUUUAAGACUGCAUCGCUUGAAUCCAGGAGAGGUGAGUGGAAUUCCGAAUGUAGAGGUGAAAUUCGUAGAUAUUCGGAAGAACACCAGUGGCGAAGGCAGCUCACUGGACUGGUAUUGACGCUGAGGUGCGAAAGCGUGGGGAGCAAACAGG